UACGAAGGGGGCUAGCGUUGCUCGGAAUCACUGGGCGUAAAGCGCACGUAGGCGGAUUGUUAAGUCAGGGGUGAAAUCCUGGAGCUCAACUCCAGAACUGCCUUUGAUACUGGCGAUCUCGAGUCCGGGAGAGGUGAGUGGAACUGCGAGUGUAGAGGUGAAAUUCGUAGAUAUCUGGAGGAACACCGGUGGCGAAGGCGGCAUCCUGGACCGAGAUUGACGCUGAUGCGCGAAAGCCAGGGGAGCAAACGGG
rnacentral:rRNA from 1 species